CCUACGUGAGGCAGCAGUGGGGAAUAUUGCGCAAUGGGCGAAAGCCUGACGCAGCGACGCCGCGUGAGGGAUGAAGGUCUUCGGAUCGUAAACCUCUGUCAGCAGGGAAGAACGGUCACUGUGCUAAUCAGCAGUGAAUUGACGGUACCUGCAAAGGAAGCACCGGCUCACUCCGUGCCAGCAGCCGCGGUAAGACGGAGGGUGCGAGCGUUGAUCGGAAUUACUGGGCGUAAAGCGCUCGUAGGCGGUAUGUCAAGUCAAGUGUGAAAUCCCCGCGCUCAACGUGGGAACUGCCUUUGAAACUGGCAAACUGGAGUGUGUGAGAGGAUAGUGGAAUUCCAGGUGUAGGAGUGAAAUCCGUAGAUAUCUGGAGGAACAUCAGUGGCGAAGGCGACUAUCUGGCACAUAACUGACGCUGAGGAGCGAAAGCGUGGGUAGCAAACAGGAUUAGAUACCCCAGUAGUC
rnacentral:rRNA from 1 species